CCUCUAAUAUUGGUGGCCAACAAACAGGUAUCACAUCAACCAACAGCACUUUAAAGUUUACACUUGUCUCAAAAAUACAAUGCAAACAUUCGCCAGUUUGCCCUGCGAGGAGUGUGUGUGUGUGUGUGUGUGUGUGUGUGUGUGUGUGUGUGUGUGUGUGUGUGUGUGUGUGAGUUAAACUCCUCUAAUAUUGGUGGCCAACAAACAGGUAUCACAUCAACCAACAGCACUUUAAAGUUUACACUUGUCUCAAAAAUACAAUGCAAACAUUCGCCAGUUUGCCCUGCGAGGAGUGUGUGUGUGUGUGUGUGUGUGUGUGUGUGUGUGUGUGUGUGUGUGUGUGUGUGUGUGUGUGUGUUAAACUCCUCUAAUAUUGGUGGCCAACAAACAGGUAUCACAUCAACCAACAGCACUUUAAAGUUUACACUUGUCUCAAAAAUACAAUGCAAACAUUCGCCAGUUUGCCCUGCGAGGAGUGUGUGUGUGUGUGUGUGUGUGUGUGUGUGUGUGUGUGUGUGUGUGUGUGUGUGUGUGUGUGUGUGUGUGUGUGUGUGUGUGUGUGUGUGUGUGUGUGUGUGUGUGUGUGUGUGUGUGUGUGUUAAACUCCUCUAAUAUUGGUGGCCAACAAACAGGUAUCACAUCAACCAACAGCACUUUAAAGUUUACACUUGUCUCAAAAAUACAAUGCAAACAUUCGCCAGUUUGCCCUGCGAGGAGUGUGUGUGUGUGUGUGUGUGUGUGUGUGUGUGUGUGUGUGUGUGUGUGUGUGUGUGUGUGUGUGUGUGUGUGUGUGUGUGUUAAACUCCUCUAAUAUUGGUGGCCAACAAACAGGAUAAAAAACAGGCUGUUGAUCCCAAUGCAGUUUACAGAGAGAUGCAACUGGAAGAGUACGUGAAGUCCCGGCCGAUACAUUUCGUUCGUGUUCAGGCACCACUAAAUGGACCAAGGAAGGGAUUUAUGGAUACAUUUCGGCUAUUUACUGCCAUGGGCACGAUGAAAAACCAAAAGUCGAAAAAAUAUUUGUAAAUAAAAACAUUCAAAGUUUAAAA